rnacentral:tmRNA from 1 species
GGGGAUGAAAGGUCUCGACAGGGAGGGCAGGUCAGCAGCUGCAAGCCGAGGUGCCUCAACCUCGCUAAUCAGGGGCAAACAAUCAAGUGCCAACACAAGCACAACUCCGGCAUUCGCUCUCGCCGCGUAACAACGGCUGAGUGAUGCCACUGGCCGACAGAGUCGGCCACGUCUGUCCCUUUCCUUAUCCCGAGAGGGAGGAGCCAGGCGUCGACUAAAUCGGGAUGCGGCCGGCUGAUGCCGAUAAUGCGGGCCAAAGAUGAAUCGGCUGGCGGCCUCUGAAGUCCGUCGCUUGAGGACAGAGCCGCGAGAUACUUGAAGCGACUAUGCUUGUAGACGCUACUGGGCGAACUUUCUGGACGCGGGUUCGAUUCCCGCCAUCUCCACUA